rnacentral:tRNA from 1 species
UGCUCGGUAGCUUAGUUGGUAAAGCACUCGUCUAGCAUGCAAAUCUCAUGGGUUCGAAUCCCACCUGAAUAU